UGGGGAAUAUUGGACAAUGGGCGAAAGCCUGAUCCAGCCAUGCCGCGUGUGUGAAGAAGGCCUUUUGGUUGUAAAGCACUUUAAGCGAGGAGGAGGCUACUUAGAUUAAUACUCUAGGAUAGUGGACGUUACUCGCAGAAUAAGCACCGGCUAACUCUGUGCCAGCAGCCGCGGUAAUACAGAGGGUGCGAGCGUUAAUCGGAUUUACUGGGCGUAAAGCGUGCGUAGGCGGCUUUUUAAGUCGGAUGUGAAAUCCCUGAGCUUAACUUAGGAAUUGCAUUCGAUACUGGGAAGCUAGAGUAUGGGAGAGGAUGGUAGAUUUCCAGGUGUAGCGGUGAAAUGCGUAGAGAUCUGGAGGAAUACCGAUGGCGAAGGCAGCCAUCUGGCCUAAUACUGACGCUGAGGUACGAAAGCAUGGGGAGCAAACAGG
rnacentral:rRNA from 1 species